AAUCAACGCUGGCGGCGCGCCUAACACAUGCAAGUCGAACGAGAAAGCAGGAGCAAUCUUGUGAGUAAAGUGGCGUACGGGUGAGUAACACGUGGAUUAUCUACCCUCUUGUGGGGGAUAACUCUGGGAAACCGGAGCUAAUACCGCAUAAGCUCGAGAGAGGAAAGCAGCAAUGCGCAGGAGGAGGAGUCCGCGGCCGAUUAGCUAGUUGGUAGGGUAAAAGCCUACCAAGGCUGAGAUCGGUAGCCGGCCUGAGAGGGCACACGGCCA
rnacentral:rRNA from 1 species